rnacentral:lncRNA from 1 species
GAACGCAAUAGCUAGGCUCGACAAAGAUCUUCAUGGACACAGGGCUGACCUCUUUGGAGCAACAGGACAGACAAGUCAAGUCACUGACUGCUGCCCAUCCUGUGACACUACAAAGACCCUUGAAAGGGUCAGUUUCUACGUUGAUGCUGUCCUCUGUGAAGCGACUGAGUAGCUCACAGCUAUGGUGAAGAGAGAACCUUGAACCCCAGAACCAAC